GAUGAACGCUGGCGGCGUGCCUAAUACAUGCAAGUCGAGCGAACAGACGAGGAGCUUGCUCCUCUGACGUUAGCGGCGGACGGGUGAGUAACACGUGGAUAACCUACCUAUAAGACUGGGAUAACUUCGGGAAACCGGAGCUAAUACCGGAUAAUAUAUUGAACCGCAUGGUUCAAUAGUGAAAGUCGGUUUUGCUGUCACUUAUAGAUGGAUCCGCGGCGCAUUAGCUAGUUGGUAAGGUAACGGCUUACCAAGGCAACGAUGCGUAGCCGACCUGAGAGGGUGAUCGGCCAAACUGGAACUGAAACACGAUCCAGACUCCUACGGGAGGCAGCAGUAGGAAAUCUUGCGCAAUGGGAGAAAGCCUGACGGAGCAACGCCGCGGGAGUGAUGAAGGUCUUCGGAUCGUGAAACUCUGUUAUUAGGGAAGAACAAAUGUGUAAGUAACUAUGCACGUCUAGACGGUACCUAAUCAAAAAGCCACGGCUAACUACGUA
rnacentral:rRNA from 1 species